rnacentral:rRNA from 1 species
GGGCCCGCACAAGCGGUGGAGUAUGUGGUUUAAUUCGAUGCAACGCGAAGAACCUUACCAGGGUUUGACAUCCUGCGAAUCUCUUGGAAACAGGAGAGUGCCUUCGGGAACGCAGUGACAGGUGGUGCAUGGCUGUCGUCAGCUCGUGUCGUGAGAUGUUGGGUUAAGUCCGGCAACGAGCGCAACCCACAUCCCUAGUUGCCAGCAGUUCGGCUGGGCACUCUAUGGAAACUGCCCGUGAUAAGCGGGAGGAAGGUGUGGAUGACGUCAAGUCCUCAUGGCCCUUACGGGUUGGGCUACACACGUGCUACAAUGCUACGGACAAAGGGCAGCAAACUCGCGAGAGCUAGCAAAUCCCAUAAACCGUGGCUCAGUUCAGAUCGUAGGCUGCAACUCGCCUACGUGAAGGAGGAAUCGCUAGUAAUCGCAGGU